rnacentral:rRNA from 1 species
AUUGAACGCUGGCGGCAGGCUUAACACAUGCAAGUCGAGCGGGGGAAGGUAGCUUGCUAUCGGACCUAGCGGCGGACGGGUGAGUAAUGCUUAGGAAUCUGCCUAUUAGUGGGGGACAACAUCUCGAAAGGGAUGCUAAUACCGCAUACGUCCUCCGGGAGAAAGCAGGGGAUCUUCGGACCUUGCGCUAAUAGAUGAGCCUAAGUCGGAUUAGCUAGUUGGUGGGGUAAAGGCCUAACAAGGCGACGAUCUGUAGCGGGUCUGAGAGGAUGAUCCGCCACACUGGGAGUGAGACCCGGCCCAGACUCUGACGGGAGGCAGCGGUGGGGAAUAUUGGACAAUGGGGGAACCCUGAUCCAGCCAUGCCGGGUGUGUAAAGAAGGCCUUAUGGUUGUAAAGCACUUUAGGCGAGGAAAAGGCUAAUUUAGUUACUACCUAGAGAUAGUGGACGUUACUCGCAGAAUAAGCACCGGCUAACUCUGUGCCAGCAGCCGCCGUAA